GACGAACGCUGGCGGCGUGCUUAACACAUGCAAGUCGAACGGGCUGCCUGGUUUUCGGAUCGGGUGGUGAGUGGCGAACGGGUGAGUAACACGUGAGUAACCUGCCCCUCUCUUUGGGAUAACGUCGGGAAAUCGGCGCUAAUACCGGGUAUUCUGGCUUCCUCGCAUGGGGUUGUUGGGAAAGGUUUUUUCUGGUGGGGGAUGGGCUCGCGGCCUAUCAGCUUGUUGGUGGGGUGAUGGCCUACCAAGGCGGCGACGGGUAGCCGGCCUGAGAGGGUGUCCGGCCACACUGGGACUGAGACACGGCCCAGACUCCUACGGGAGGCAGCAGUGGGGAAUAGUGCACAAUGGGCGGAAGCCUGAUGCAGCGACGCCGCGUGGGGGAUGACGGCCUUCGGGUUGUAAACCUCUUUCAGUGCAGAACAAGGCUCUUUGUGGGUUGAGGGUAGGCGCAGAAGAAGCGCCGGCUAACUACGUG
rnacentral:rRNA from 1 species